CAGCCGCCGCGGUAAUACGGAGGAUCCAAGCGUUAUCCGGAAUCAUUUGGUUUAAAGGGUCCGUAGGCGGUCUUGUAAGUCAGUGGUGAAAGCCCAUCGCUCAACGGUGGAACGGCCAUUGAUACUGCAGGACUUGAAUUAUUGGGAAGUAACUAGAAUAUGUAGUGUAGCGGUGAAAUGCUUAGAGAUUACAUGGAAUACCAAUUGCGAAGGCAGGUUACUACCAAUUGAUUGACGCUGAUGGACGAAAGCGUGGGUAGCGAACAGGAUUAGAUACCCCUGUAGUCCCUGUCUCUUAUAC
rnacentral:rRNA from 1 species